UCAUAUUAUGGCCCGGGGUAAAACACAGGCUCAGGUCCCCCUUUACCUGCUUUUUUUGUGCUAAUAUUCUCAACCCGGAGGGCACUGGACAUUAUUUGGUGUGGACAACUUUGAUAUCGUGCAAAAACAAAAAGCCCUACAGGUUCCUGGUGACGUGAAGGAAAGUGACUGAGUGCUGAUUAAGACCAUUAAGAAGAAAACGUGGUCUGAUCCAAAGUGGGAGGGUCCAUUCCAAGUGUUAUUGACAAUUCCUACCGCUGUGAAAAUCCAAGACUACUUAUACAAAGUACACUGUAAAGAGCCCAGGUUAACAGCUAGACCAGUACCAGCGCCAAGAGAUGAGUGUUUUAUCAGAAACAGCGUUUCUGGUGCCAGUACCAGUUUCUGCGUGGUAAUGGGUAAUGUAACAUUUUACAACUGUGAUGUUACAAAGUUUAAACAGUUUAAUGUUAUAACCACUGUGUUCAAUUAUGUGGAGCUUCUUGCAGGUUCCUAUUUUUCUCAUUGUGUCGUGGGCACCGGUUCCAUCCCAGUGGGGACUAUUCCAAUGAGCACGUGUAACACAACUUACUAUUAUCCUUCCCACCAAGCUGGACCAGGGGGAAAAAAUCCAUGAUCUAAAGGGCACUUAUGCAAUAGAUGGAUUUCACUGGAUGUGUGGAACUGCCAUUUAUUUGCGGUUGCCUCUAGGUUGGAGUGGUGUUUGUGUACCUGUUUAUGUCACUGAUCACACUUAUGUCAUUUCAGUUCAACCUUUCCUGAAUAGGAGUAAGAGGGAACUCAUCCGUGUGAAGCCACAUGACGGUGUGUGGGCAUCAGAUGUUCCCGACGAAUUUAAGCAUAGAUCAACAGGAAAUAAGAUUUUGCUAGGUUUAUUCCCAUGGUUGGGAGUAGGAAAGAACAUGCUUAGAAACUAUAGAUUAUUGACUGGGACUGUUUGUUAAUGCAACCACAAAAGCUCUUACAGGACUGUUCACAGAAGUCACAGCUCUUCGAACCAUGGUCUUGCAGAACAGGAUGGUGUUGGACCUGCUAACGGCUUCAUUUGGGGGAGUUUGCGCUCUCCUAAUCGAGACCUGCUGCACCUACAUCCCUGAUAAAACCAACGGCAAAGAUGAACACACAGUGAGCGAUGCUAUAAGCCAAUUAAAUGAAAUUAAAAGGGGUAUGCAGCAGGAUGUCCAUCCAGGCAGGGGAAACUUUUUUUUGUGGCUUACUUCUGGACCGUGGUGGCCACUGCUUUUGAAAAUCAUGACCCCUGUCAUCGCUGUGUUAUUGUUUGCCUUUUUUACUCUGUGUGUUAUUCCCUGUAUCAGAGCAAUGAUAUUAAGGAUGGUUGGAGGAAUUGUUAAUACAAUGUUGUCCCAGGAUUACCAACUUCUUGACGAGGACCAGGACCCAGCAAUUUUGUAGAGUUGCAUCCAGUACAAAAACUCCAAUAUAUAUAAAAGGGUCAAGCCUGAACUGAGCACUGAGUUACUGUAUGCUGCUUAAAGAGUCACCCUGCUUCAAUUUGCGACCAGAAUGGGACAAUAGCAGAAUGGUAAAUGGCCUGUACUUUUAUAGCGUUUUAUCAAGUUUGAGGACCUCAAAGUGUUUUACUCUACAAUCAGUCAUUCACCGAUUCAUUCACGCACUGACAGUGGUGAGCUACAUUAUAGCCACAGAUGCCCUGGGGCAGGCUGACAGAAGUUGGGCUGCCAUGAAAUUGGCGCCAACUGACCAACAUCAGCAGGCAAGGCGGGUGAAGUGUCUUGCCCAAGAAUACAAUGACUGACACGGACAGAACGAGGGUUUGAACUGGGAAACCCACCAGUCACAGGACGGACUCCUACCACCAAAGCCAAAGUCGCUCAGGUGGUACUAGACAGAAUGGAUAAAAAGGUUACAGAAUUGGAUAUGAUCAAUAUGAAAGCAAGGAUCCAUCUAGGUGUGUCAACGUUUCAGGUGGUUAUGAACCACAGCGUACCAAUCUUUAGAUGGCAAUUUCCAGCAGGAUAAUACAUCAUGUCACAAAGCUCAAAUCAUCUCAAACUGGUUUCAUGAACGUGACAGAGUUCUCUGUAUUCCAGUGGAGAUUAGAAACCUGGAUGUACAGCUCACUACUCUACAAGAACUGUUAGAUGUCAUGUUGAUACUGACCAAAAUCUAUGAUGAAUAUUUCUGACACUUUGUUAAAUAUGUGCCACAAAGAAUUAAGGCAGUUAUGAAAGUAAAAGGUGUCUUGAUUAGAUAUACCUCAUAAAGUGGCCAUUAAGUUUAUACUUAUAUGAAGCUAUUCCAUAGCAGCAUUCAUUCAAAACAUUCUGAGCAUGCAACCUCCAAACAUCAAUUUAAACAAUCAUUUAAUAAUA